UACAGAGGGGGCAAGCGUUGUUCGGAAUUACCGGGCGUAAAGGGUGCGUAGGCGGGUCUUUAAGUCAGGGGUGAAAUCCUGGAGCUCAACUCCAGAACUGCCUUUGAUACUGAAGAUCUUGAGUUCGGGAGAGGUGAGUGGAACUGCGAGUGUAGAGGUGAAAUUCGUAGAUAUUCGCAAGAACACCAGUGGCGAAGGCGGCUCACUGGCCCGAUACUGACGCUGAGGCACGAAAGCGUGGGGAGCAAACAGG
rnacentral:rRNA from 1 species